rnacentral:rRNA from 1 species
UACGUAGGGUGCAAGCGUUGUCCGGAAUUAUUGGGCGUAAAGAGCUCGUAGGCGGUUUGUCGCGUCUGCUGUGAAAACCCGAGGCUCAACCUCGGGCCUGCAGUGGGUACGGGCAGACUAGAGUGCGGUAGGGGAGAUUGGAAUUCCUGGUGUAGCGGUGGAAUGCGCAGAUAUCAGGAGGAACACCAAUGGCGAAGGCAGAUCUCUGGGCCGUAACUGACACUGAGAGACGAAAGCCAGGGGAGCAAACGGG